rnacentral:rRNA from 1 species
AUUGAACGCUGGCGGCAGGCCUAACACAUGCAAGUCGAACGAGUGGCGGACGGGUGAGUAAUGUAUGGGAAACUGCCCGAUGGAGGGGGAUAACUACUGGAAACGGUAGCUAAUACCGCAUACCAUCGGAUGUGCCCAGAUGGGAUUAGCUAGUAGGUGGGGUAACGGCUCACCUAGGCGACGAUCCCUAGCUGGUCUGAGAGGAUGACCAGCCACACUGGAACUGAGACACGGUCCAGACUCCUACGGGAGGCAGCAGUGGGGAAUAUUGCACAAUGGGCGCAAGCCUGAUGCAGCCAUGCCGCGUGUAUGAAGAAGGCCUUCGGGUUGUAAAGUACUUUCAGCGGGGAGGCGUUACUCGCAGAAGAAGCACCGGCUAACUCCGUGCCAGCCGCCGCGGUAAUUC